UUAUCAAGACAUCACAAUGGACACAGUUCAAUAGACUUCUGGUUCAGACACUACAAGGAUGCCAAAUGAAUCGACCAACACAUACGACAGUUUACAAUCCGAUGAUGCAACGCCUUAUGAAAAACUGAAUGCAUACGGGAAUCUGCCUCCGUCAGGAGAAAUGCUUGAGGACACGACCAAGUAAAGGAAGUAUGUUCGUUUACAACACAAAUAAGCGUGUAGCUGUUGCUUAGAAACAAUAGCAUCUGAUGGCCGAGAGUUGUGAACUUUGGACGAUUCUGUAAAGUAUGGUGUGACCUCAACAAAACGGAACGCUUGUGGUAGUAAAGCUAAUCAAUGACAAA